GGUUUUCACACCUCUUCACGUGACUUUGAUUCGUUGCCUUUUUUAAUAAUUUUUUUACUGUUGAUUAUUUUUUUGGGGUAAAAAUGGUUCAGGAUCCUUGACCGUUGAAUUUUUUUCUAAGAGCCCAUCUGUGAGUCAUAUGACAUUAUGUGUUUAUCACAGAACCGUCCCUCUCUCUGAUGGGGCCCAUUGGUAAGGCCUAUUGAUUGAGCCCAUUUUCGAGGUUCAUUGAUGCCAGGGCCCAAUACUGAGAAAACUUCUGUUUCAUUGAAGUGAUUGUGCACAAAGAUGAUACAAGCAACGAACGAUUUUUUGGAGUGGGGAUUUAGAGUUUAUGCUGCUAAUAAGAACACCUUAGCUUUUUUUUUUUUACAACUGCUAAGAACACUUCCAACGCUCAUUAUCUGAAAAAGUGUGUGUAGAGCAUAAAUCAUGAUUAGUUACAUAUAUGUUCAUUAAAUAAUUAAAUUUUUAUUUUAAAUAGAAUCAGUUACAAAUUGACAAAUUACCUAAGAAGUUUCAGAGGAUAUU
rnacentral:lncRNA from 1 species